rnacentral:rRNA from 1 species
UACGUAGGCAGCGAGCGUUGUUCGGAAUUACUGGGCGUAAAGAGUGUGUAGGCGGUGUUCCAAGUUCGGUGUGAAAUCUCCCGGCUUAACUGGGAGGGUGCGCCGAAAACUGGAAUGCUCGAGCGUGGGAGAGGAAAGCGGAAUUCCUGGUGUAGCGGUGAAAUGCGUAGAUAUCAGGAGGAACACCAGCGGUGUAGACGGCUUUCUGGACCAUUGCUGACGCUGAGGUGCGAAAGCGUGGGGAGCAAACAGG